CAAACCAGAGGCAAUCCAAUAUGGCGGCCGGCGAUGAUCAUUUUCAAUUACAGAAUGAUUUUACAAACUAUUUCGAAGUCAUUCAGUAAUUUACAUAUUGAAAUGCCUGAAAAAUGGCAACAUUAACAAGAUAUGGUCUUUGUUUGCUUUCAAGAGGAUCAUUAAGGCAUUUUAUUAACACUGGGAGUGUUGUUUUGCACAAAACCAUACCCACGUGGAGGACGUUUCGCACUUGUCGAGGUAUUAAAAUCCUGAUAUUUCUGCACGACAAACUAUCUUUAUUUUGUAUUCAAGAUGUUUUCUGUCGUUUAGGACCAAGCUUUGCUGGUGAAUAUGAGUGGCAAGAUCCUAAAUCUCCCGAUGAAAUGUAAGCUCUAUUUUAAUAGAUCCCCGUAUCAGUUUAUUCCAAAAA